CAAAACUCGUGCUACAACAGGAGGUCAUC
rnacentral:piRNA from 1 species